rnacentral:rRNA from 1 species
GACGAACGCUGGCGGCGUGCCUAAUACAUGCAAGUAGGACGCAGUUGCGAACGGGUGAGUAACGCGUAGGUAACUACCUAUUAGAGGGGGAUAACUAUUGGAGACGAUAGCUAAUACCGCAUACUAGUAGGUGGACCUGCGUUGUGUUAGCUAGUAGGUAGGGUAAUGGCCUACCUAGGCAACGAAACAUAGGCGACCUGGGAGGGUUGACGGCCAAACUGGGAAUGGGAAAAGGGCCAGACUCCUACGGGGGGCAGCAAGUGGGAAUCUUUGGCAAUGGGGGGAACCCUGAACGAGCAACGCCGCGUGAGUGAAGAAGGUUUUCGGAUCGUAAAGCUCUGUUGUUAAGGAAGCGGUACUUAACCAGAAAGGGACGGCUAACUACGUGCCAGAAGCCGCGGUAAUUC